rnacentral:lncRNA from 1 species
CUUUCGAUGUCGACGGGAGGAAACUGUCACGCAGGCCACCAACCGGCGGUGGAGGGCGCGGUGCCGAGUCCUGCCACUGCAGGGUCGCCCCGCUGGCUCAAGCUCUAGAAGCGUAGACCUCCCCAGCCGCAAAAAGCAACUCACGCGGCGAAACCGCGGACUCUUUUGACCCUUCCGAGCUACCAUUUACUUUCCAUAGAGGGGCGGGACUUCCUGUUUCGCUUUUAUCUGGGCAAGAGGGGUAUAUACGUAUAUAUCAUCGCACGGUGUGUCCCGGAAGGCUUGAUAUGCUAGUCCCGCGGGACAAGGCGAGCCGAGGAGUUUGUGUGGAAGUUUGCAUCUGAGAGUGCGAGAGCUGGACGGAGUGUUACAGAGCCGCGAUGCCUUCUCGUUUUGUUUUGUUUUGUUUUUGAUACAGUGUCUCGCUCUUCCGCCCAGUCUCGAGUGCAGUGGUGAGAACACGGCUUACUGCAGCCUCAAAAUCCUGGACCCAAAAGAUCCUCCCACCUCAGCCUGCCUCCCAGGUAGCUGGGACUACAGGCGCACAACACCAUCGCUUCUUGGAUUAAAAGAAAAGGAUGAAACGGGCCCCAGAAAGAGGCGGUGACGUCCCAGAACCCAUGGCAGGGGAGUUGGGAAAAUAAAUAUUUGUAUUGUUUUAAUCUCCCUUGUGGCUUUUUUUAACCCCCGAAACAGCAAGGUAUUUUUAAAAGGGAUGAAGAGAGUUGCUUCAAAUGUUUUGAGACGUUGUUAUUUUUAAUAUGUGAGUGAAUAUCUUAGAAACAAAAUGAACAAGAAAUAAAAAUUUUAGAAAAUAUAUGAGUUAAUCUCUCAGCAGAGUCUUUAUUAAAAAGCAUGUUUAUGGUCAGUCAUCUGGCACCCCGUUCUCUUAAUAGAUCCCAUCUGCUCCAUCAUCUAGUUCUAAAACAUUUAUAUAAGAUGCAAUUUACAAUUUUGCACUCAGUGCAGUUUGAUCCAUUCCAAAUUCAAUAUAUGCAGACUUUUCCGGGUGGCGAUGUGAGGCUACGUACCACCAAAUAUGUGUUCUGCAAUAUAGAAAGUAUUUCCCCCAUAGUUAAUGCACUCUCAUAGUGGAGUUACUUUAGCUUUACCAGAGCCACCCCCUUCUUUUACAUCAUGUCUAUUGACGUCAGUUUACAUAUAGAUAUCUUUUAAAUAUGACUGAUGGGAUAUAAAAGGAAUGAAAGGAAAGAGUCUUAGAUGACUUCUGAGUCUAAAAAGGAAAUGUGUUUUAAAUUUAAAAUUUAUAAGUACCUAAUGAAAAAUACAUAUGAAACAAAGUGAAGUGACAGAAUUACAAAGAAAAAAAAUGCCUGGUCAUAUUGGGUAAUUUUAACAGGACUUUCUCACUAAUCGUUAAGACUAGCAAGAGAAAAGUUAAGGAUAUAGGAAACGUGAAUAACAUGAUGUAAAAAUGACGCAAUUAAUAUGUACAGAACAACACGACCAAAAUCAGAAUGUACAGUUUUUUGAAAGCAGACACAUCACCACAGUCAACCACAUACUUAGUUAUAAAGCAACUCAAGAAAUUUUGAAAAUUGAAAUAAUUGUCAUUUUUUACUACAGUGCAUUUAAGAUAGAAAUCAAUAAAGAACUGUAAAAACAAGCCUGAAUAACACAGAGACAGAGUCAAUGGUAUUGAGAAAAUAUUUUGAACUGAACCAUAAAAUAACAAUAGCAACACCUGUGGGAUGAAACUGAAGCAGCACUUACAGGGACAUUUAUAGCCAUAAGUAAGUGUAUUAGAAGAGUCUGAAAAGUCUUGAGCUGAAAAUCCCUUUUCAAGAAGUUAGAAAAAGGACAGCAAAAUAAGACAGAAAAUAGAAGGACAGAAAUAAUGUUAAGAGCAGAAAUUAACGAAAUGGAAAAUAAAAGCAGUGGUGUACCAGAGCCAGCCUGUACUGGCAUAGGAGAGCCAAUUGUGCACACCUCUUGGCAACUCCAUGAUCAAUAACAUCAAAUAAGUAGCUUGAAGUCACCCACGAUGGGACUGUUUACACUAUGGAACUCAACAAACAAGCCAGGAUUUUGUUUUAUGUUUGGAGCCAAUUCAAAUAAGUAGCUUGAAGUCAACCAUGAUGGGACUGUUUACACUAUGGAAAUCAACAAGCCAGGAUUUUAUGUUUGGAGCUAACUCACUAGCACACCACAGCAUAGAAUAGGUUGAAAGAAGCCAAAAGUUGAUUUUUUUUGGAAAAGAAAAAUUAAAAUUGGCAAACAUCUAAUAGCUAUAAAAGGAGGGAUGUCAACAAUCUUUAUCAAGAAUGGAAACUAGAAAUACUAUAGACAUCAAAAAAGUUAGAUAAUCUUGUAAACAAUUUAGUGCAAAUAAGAUUUAGAUGACUGUACAAACUUCAAGAAAAACAACUCAAAAGUAGAGAAACUAUUACAUAAUUUGAAUGAGUAGUGAAGAAUCUUCAUACACACAAAUCCCAGGUACGUGGCUCCACCAGUAAGUUCCUACAAACUUUGAAAUCAUUCCAUUCUUACUGAAUAAGGCUACCAUAACUUUUGUACUAAUUAUAAAAUCCCCAAACCUCUGAAACACCACACACUUUGGAACUCAUUUGGUGAAAAAUACGACUUAAAGUAACAUGAGGCUCUUUAUAGUUGUUAUUAUCACUUAGGUGACUGCAUAUGCUUUUCGGUAGAAAUAUUAAUGUAUUUCAUUAUGGGUACUGUCCCAGUUCUUGUUGAGAAUAUUAUACAAUAUAUGUUGUAUGUUUCAUACUACCCUUCUAAUAUUUAAAAUAGUCUAUAUUUCAAACAUCUGGCUCCAGGGAUUUCAGGUGAGUUAUGUGGACCUAUAUAAGAAAAAAUCUUUAUGACUUAGGUUAAGAGGAAUUUUUAGCCAUAAAGGAAAGUCUCAGUAAUUAUCAAAUGAUGUGGCCGGGUGCGGUGGCUCACGCCUGUAGUCCCAGCACUUUGGGAGGCUGAGGCAGACGGAUCAUGAGGUAAGGAGUUCGAGACCAGCCUGGCCAACAUGGUGAAACCCCGUCUCUAAUAAAGAUACAAAAAAUUAGCCGGAUAUGGUGGUGUGUGCCUGUAAUCCCAGCUACUCAGGAGGCUGAUGCAGGAGAAUUGCUUGAACUCAGGAGGCGGAGGUUGCAGUGAGCUGAGAUCAUGCCAUUGCACUCCAGCCUGGGUAACAGGGAGAGACUUCGUCAAAAAAAAAAAAAAAAAAAAAAAAAAAAAGAUGUGUUACAUACAUAAAAAUAUUGGGCUACAUAAAAGUAAUGGACUUUUGUUUACCAAACAAUACCAUGAAGCAAGUGAAAAAGGAUUAGUAUCCAGAAUAUACAAAUAACACAAAUCAAUAAGAAAUAGACUUGCCCAUUUUGAAAAUGGGCAAAAAGCUUAAAUAGGCACAGCACCAAAUGCAAAUGACUAAUACAUGAAAGGACCAACAUUCCCAUUAGUAACUAUAGAAAGGAACAUGAAAAUAACAAUGCAGUACUAUUAGACACCCAGCAGAUCAAAAAAUAAUUUAAAAGUCUGACAGAAACAAGUUUUAAGGAAGAAGCAAGGAAUAUCCUCAUACACUGUGGUAGCAUAAGUUGAUACAAUCAGGGAAAACAGUGUGGCAUUAUCUAGUAAGAUUGAAUUAUCUAGUAAGAUUGAAGAUACACAUUCACUGUGACUCAGCAACUCUACAGAAUUUCCUGUACAUAUGCAUUUUUUUAAUAGCUGAAACCAUUAUGCAACUCAAACUUGUAUCAACAAUAGAAUGGAUAAAUUAUGGUAUAGUCAUACUGUGAAAUAUAAUACAGCAACAAAGAGAAACAAACGAUUAUUUACAAUAACAUGGUGAAUUGCCAUACUGAGACAACCAAUGAAUACAGAAUAUUUCCACUUACAUAAAGUUCAAAAACGGGCAGAACUCUACUAUAUUGUUUAAAAUAACAGUCAUAAGUAGUAAAACUAUACAGAAAAGCUAAGAAAUGAUUAUCACAAAUGUUCCUCUCUAGGGUAAGAAAGGAGAUAUGAUCAGGGAGGGGCACAUGGUGGGGCUCCUGGGAUGCGGAGAAUGUUUUAUUUAUGGACCUGAGUGUUCGCUUUAUAAUUAUUCUUUAAAUAAACUGUACAUAUAUGUUUUAUUCACUUUUCCAUAGGAAUGUAUAUCUCACAAUUUCUAAACAAAUAAAAUGAGUAAUUGACCUGAGGAAGGUCAUCUUUAAUAAAUUUGAUUUACAGAAAGGUAAAAAUAGUGGUCACACAGAAUAUUUGUAGUGUUAUUACUAAAUUUUUAAUGAAUUUAGUAUCUUAAGUGCUCUUCGAGGUCAAAAGUUAGUGGUCUCUAGUGCUAAAUGCCACCGUGCACCUAAGCAAUUCCUAGUGGUCUGUGGUAAGCUUAAGGGAUAGACAAGGAAGAUAUUACCAGAGAGAUGUAGUGAGUUGCAAUAACAUUCCCCACCUUACCCCUGAAGAAGUCUAGUUCGCCAGUUGGGAAAUGCUGGUUUUACUAACAGAGCAAAAACAAACUAGAAGAGAGGAAUUUUGUGGUGUCAAUAAGAAAAAGAAAAUUAACACAGGAUAACAAUUGCAAAGACCAUUUCACCUUACAAAAUCUUAAAGAUUAAAAUGGAACAAUGUGGGUGCCAUAAAAUGAUUUCAAGUGUGCUGUUUUGACACAAAGAGGGUGUAAUCACCCAGCCUAUGUUUGGAGGAGAGAGGAGGCGAGGAGGAGUCAGUGUGAAGAGGUGGAAGACGUGUUGUGCUGGGUUGCCAUCCAGAGGAAAUUUUGAGUGGGUGCUCUCUAGUCGGAACGAAGUAGAUCCCCAAACCACUGGUGGGCAGGGCCAGACAGACCCAGUCGCACUGAAAAUGUAUGUGUUGUUUUUCUGUUGCUGCCCACAGACUUUUAUUUAUAAUCUGUACUGUUACAAAGCAGUUAUCACAGACACCUACUCACGGGCACAGACCGGAGAACGAUUCCCUUGACUUCAGUGUUGCUACAGCGAUCUUCUGAAUUUCUUCUAGAUCUCUGUGCUGUCUCCUUGCCUUCCUCAACCCCCUUAACUAUAGGUAUACGCCAAGAUGCUGUCCCUUCAUUUCUCUCUCUCUCUUGCUCUCCUCUCUCUCUCUCUGCAUUGUUUUAGUUGGUGAGUCAAUUCACUCUGAUAGUUUCAGUUAGCACUUCUGUCACAAAGACUUGCAAGACUAUGUUUUGGUCCUUAAAAGAACCUUUGUGACAGUUUUCUUGUUCCACAUCCCUAUUGGAUAUCUUCACUUGUUUAUCUUUCCAUCAUUCCAAGACGUUCAGAACUGGACUCGAUAUUUUCUCUCUAGAAGCGCUGCUCUUCUUAAGCUGUUCUUUUUCAUCAGUUCCACAAGUCCUUUGUCUUCCCGUUAGAAGCCUUCCAGUUCUCUUUUAUGCUCCCUGCUCUGUAUUUACAUAGCCAAUCCAUUUCACAGACAUUAUGCAUCUGUGCAGUGCCAGCCUCCAUGGUUGGCCUUGGGGAUAAAGACAAAUAAGAGGCCAGUGGCCCAUGCCUGUAAUCCCAGUACUUUGGGAGGCCGAGGCGGGUGGAUCAUGAGGUCAGGAGAUUGAGACCAUCCUGGUUAACAGGGUGAAACCCCGUCUCUACUAAAAAUACAAAAAAUUAGCCAGGCGUGGUGGCGGGUGCCUGUAGUCCCAGCUACUCAGGAGGUUAAGGCAGGAGAAUGGCAUGAACCCGGGAGGCGGAGGUUGCAGUGAGCUGAGAUCGUGCCACUGCAGUCCAGCCUGGGCAACAGAGCGAGACUCCGUCUCAAAAAAGACAAAUAAGGUAGGUCUCAGCCUUUGAGAAGCUCAGUCUAGUGGAGGACAUGGACCAUAUUAUCCUCUAAUAAAGGGCAAUAAGAGCUAUGAUAGAGGCAGGCAUCCAAUGCAAUGGGUGUCCAGAACAGGAGUUUGCCAAGAGACCUCAAAAAGGGGAACACAGGUGGUAUUAGAAACAGCACAGUGGAAUGGAGAAGAGUAUUGUGUUCAGAGGCAGACUACACUUGAAUUCUAUUUCCUCCAGUGUCAAGCUGUGCAACCUUGGUCAGGUUACUGAAUCUUUGUAUACAUUGGUUCCCUCGACUGAAAAUGUGGGUGGUAAUAUAGACCUUAGGUUUCUUGUGAAAGUUAAAUGAAACAAGCCAUGCAAAGCACUUAGAAGAGUGUCUAGCACAUUAAAAAAUUUCAUUCAUUCAACAUACACACAUAUAUAUAUAUAGAGAGAGAGAGAGAGAGAGACAGAGAGAGAGAGAGCACUUACUAUGUGCUGUUUUAGGGGCUUAGGAGACAUCAGAGAACAUAUAGAUAAAAAUUCCUACCCUCAUGGAAUGUGCAUUUUAGCAGGGAGACAAUAAGCAAUAGACAUAACAAAUAAAGUAUAUGUAGUAUGUUAGGUAAGUGUUAUAGGAAAAAGAAAAAAGAAAAUGUUAAUUAUUAAUAUUACUGUAUUAUAGAAGUCACUUUAUCUUAGACUUAAAGGAAGAGAAGUCUUAUAAACAGAAAAAUGUUUCAUCUCAUCUAAGAUGCAUUCAUCAUAAGUUGCACUCUUCUCCUUCUCCUUCUCCUUCUUCUUCUUUUUGAGACAGAGUGUCACUCUGUCCCCCAGGCUGGAGUGCAGUGGCCCGAUC